UCCUACGGGAGGCAGCAGUGGGGAAUAUUGCACAAUGGGGGAAACCCUGAUGCAGCCAUGCCGCGUGUGUGAAGAAGGCCUUCGGGUUGUAAAGCACUUUCAGUAGGGAGGAAAGGUAAUGGUUUAAUACACCAUUGCUGUGACGUUACCUACAGAAGAAGGACCGGCUAACUCCGUACCAGCAGCCGCGGUAAU
rnacentral:rRNA from 1 species